CGGAGCUAAAGGGUGGUCCUUGUGGGCCGCGGACCACCCUGAGCUUUGGAGAAAUGUCCAAUAGCGAUUCAGUUUUCUGGCCAGAAAAUUUUAUGGGCUGUGGCCUGUUAGCUAAAACGAUAUCCCUAUAGUAUACGCGCUGGAGAUUUGAUCGAGAAUUGAUCAUGUACGUCAGUUCACGUCCUUCCGACUGCCGCGUCUAUUCGUUUCUCAAUUCCAAUCUUGAUUGUUUCCGUCUUUCCUGUGGUCUACGGGACUACGGCGGCGCUGGUGACGCAACUGCAGAACUGCUGCCGACGGCAAGCAGCCGAGCACCAGUCGACCACCACACAUUGGACUCCAUCGAAAUCUCCACGACCACGAUCUGAAUCCUAGCGGCUCCAAUCUAAACUGUUCAGUGGUCUACGAUCUGCACAGAUAGACAGUCUAUAGACAAAGUGCAGAUGCCACAUAGGAAUUAUUGAAACAUGAAGAGGAAAUGCGAUAUUGCUUGUAUGUUUGAGAAAUAUGAAGCAAAGAACAAGGCGGCUUCUCCAUCUCCUUCUGUGGUUGCAGCUGAUCCAGAAGAACAAAUUGAAGAA